rnacentral:lncRNA from 1 species
GUGUAUGUGUGUGCGACCAGAGCUCAAAGUGGAGUGAUAAGGCUGGUGAAAACAGAACACAUGAGAACACAGCUGGACUAGCUGGGAUCAUGUUUUACUCUAUCCCCUCUACACAAGCACUCUAAAACAAAAGAUUCAUUGGAGCAACAAAGAGUGAAAUGAAUGGAUUUGACUGUGAUUAAUAGCUCACACACACACACACACACACACACACACACACACACACACACACACACACACACACACACACACACACACACACACACACACACACACACACACACACACACACACUCUCUCUCUCUCUCGUACCCCCCUGAAGGUAUAAUUGUGAAGCUGCAUUGAUGUGCUCUGUUAAUUGGCAAUAAAAUUAUAAGUGGAAAGCACAGGGAGCCUGUGGGGUCCACACAAUUACCCAGAUACACAGAGUGUGUGUGUGCGCGUAAAUAUAGAUCUUUUUUAGAGAGGUAGGGGUGUAGCUGUUCCAGUGUUCUGCACCAUGGGAAUUGUGUUUUAGGCUAGAGCCACAUCUGUUUGUAUCCUACCCUCCUACCCCUAUACUGUUUGGGGUUCCAUUUUGGGCCCUCAUUGCCCAAAAUGAAAACUAGGCCCAAUGAGAGAUUACUAGGAAAUAGUUUUUUGUGCGUGUGUGCAUGCUUGUUUGCACUCAUGUAUGUAUGGUGUGUGUGUGUGCACGUGGGAAUGUUGAGUAUGUGGGUGUGUACAGUGUGUGUGGUGUGUGUGUGCACGUGGGUGUGUACAGUAUGUGUGGUGUGUGGGUGCACGUGGGUGUGUACAGUAUGUGUGGGUGCAUGUGGGUGUGUACAGUCUGUGGUGUGUGGGUGCACGUGGGUGUGUACAGUAUGUGUGGGUGCACGUGGGUGUGUACAGUAUGUGUGGUGUGUGGGUGUGUACAGUAUGUGUGGUGUGUGGGUGUGUACAGUAUGUGUGGUGUGUGGUGUGUAUGGGUGUGUACAGUAUGUGUGGUGUGUGGGUGUGUACAGUAUGUGUGGUGUGUGUGUACUGUAUGGGUGUGUACAGUAUGUGUGGUGUGUGGGUGUGUACAGUAUGUGUGGUGUGUGGGUGUGUACAGUGUGUGUGGUGUAUGGGUGUGUACAGUAUUUGUGGGUGUGUACAGUAUGUGUGGUGUAUGGGUGUGUACAGUAUGUGUGGGUGUGUACAGUAUGUGUGGUGUGUGUACAGUAUGUGUGUGUACAGUAUGUGUGGUGUAUGGGUGUGUACAGUAUGUGUGGUGUGUGGGUGUGUACAGUAUGUGUGGUGUAUGGGUGUGUACAGUAUGUGUGGUGUGUGGGUGUGUACAGUAUGUGUUGUGUGUGUGUGCAUGUGGGUGUGUACAGUAUGUGUGGUGUAUGGGUGUGUACAGUAUGUGUGGUGUAUGGGUGUGUACAGUAUGUGUGGUGUGUGGGUGUGUACAGUAUGUGUGGUGUGUGGGUGUGUACAGUAUGGGUGUGUACAGUAUGUGUGGUGUGUGGGUGUGUACAGUAUGGGUGUGUACAGUAUGUGUGGUGUGUGGGUGUAUACAGUAUGGGUGUGUACAGUAUGUGUGGUGUGUAUGGGUGUGUACAGUAUGUGUGGUGUGUGGGUGUGUACAGUAUGUGUGGGUGUGUACAGUAUGGGUGUGUACAGUAUGUGUGGUGUAUGGGUGUGUACAGUAUGUGUGGUGUAUGGGUGUGUACAGUAUGUGUGGUGUGUGGGUGUGUACAGUAUGUGUGGUGUGUGGGUGUGUACAGUAUGGGUGUGUACAGUAUGUGUGGUGUGUGGGUGUGUGUCUAUAGCCUCCUCUGCUGUGUUGUAGAAUAUUAAUGUCCUCUGCACACUCACGUCUGAAUGGCGCGCAUGCUACGAUGACUGGGGAUUUGGGAUAUAAACCAUACCAUUUAUUCCCUCUACUCUGUCUGUCUCUAUUACUCGUGUGUGUGUGUGUGUGUGUGUGUGUGUGUGUGUGUGUGUGUGUGUGUGUGUGUGUGUGUGUGUGUGUGUGUGUGUGUGUGUGUGUGUGUGUGUGUACGUCCACAG